rnacentral:rRNA from 1 species
CGCGUAGACGGCUGUCUAAGUCUGGAGUGAAAGUCCUGCUUUCAAGGUGGGAAUUGCUUUGGAGACUGGAUGGCUUGAGUGCGGAAGAGGUAAGUGGAAUUCCCAGUGUAGCGGUGAAAUGCGUAGAGAUUGGGAGGAACACCAGUGGCGAAGGCGACUUACUGGGCCGUAACUGACGUUGAUGCGCGAAAGCGUGGGGAGCGAACAGGAUUAGAUACCCUGGUAGUCCACGCGGUAAACGAUGAGUGCUAGGUGUGGCGGGUAUCGACCCCUGCUGUGCCGGAGUUAACACAAUAAGCACUCCGCCUGGGGAGUACGGCCGCAAGGUUGAA